AUGGACGUUACUUUUGAGGCUCGGAACGGCUCCUUCACCCUAGAGGUGUGGUACUUUGCGACGGUGAAGCAGAUCAAGGAGAUGAUCUACAAGCGCUACCGUCACUUCCCGGUGAGGGCACAGCGGCUUGUCUUCCAGGGCAAGGAGCUUGAAGACGACCGCAAUACCGAGCACUACGGCAUCAUCCAGGGGUCACGCAUCGUCUGUCUCGACCUGCCUGAAAGCUUGACCAUGUAUCCUUUGUGA
rnacentral:rRNA from 1 species